GACGAACGCUGGCGGCGCGCCUAACACAUGCAAGUCGAACGAGCGAGAGAGAGCUUGCUUUCUCGAGCGAGUGGCGAACGGGUGAGUAACGCGUGAGGAACCUGCCUCAAAGAGGGUGACAACAGUUGGAAACGACUGCUAAUACCGCAUAAGCCCACGGCUCGGCAUCGAGCAGGGGGAAAAGGAGCAAUCCGCUUUGAGAUGGCCUCGCGUCCGAUUAGCUAGUUGGUGGGGUAACGGCCCACCAAGGCGACGAUCGGUAGCCGGACUGAGAGGUUGAACGGCCACAUUGGGACUGAGACACGGCCCAGACUCCUACGGGAAGCAGCAGUGGGGAAUAUUGCACAAUGGGGGAAACCCUGAUGCAGCGACGCCGCGUGGAGGAAGAAGGUCUUCGGAUUGUAAACUCCUGUUGUUGGGGAAGAUAAUGACGGUACCCAACAAGGAAGUGACGGCUAACUACGUG
rnacentral:rRNA from 1 species